ensembl:lncRNA
GUUGGCCGGGUGCAGUGCGCAUGAGUUCGGCUGCUCGGCGGAGCUUGUGUUUGGCUUGAGAGCACUUGGAGAACUUGCUGUCCUUCGUCCUUAUAGCUCAUCUGCUGUCCCUGUUAGGAGAGGCGUGGAUUUCUGCUAGCAGCCGAAAUGAAUACAACUAGCAACGCUACGUAACAUGUUGAUGGCAUCCUAUCCUGCAUUGGGAUCGAUAAGUCCAGAAGGUGUGAUGCCUAGAAACCUCCUGUCAGACUUCCCUGAAGCAACGCCCGAAAUCUCUCCGAAGCGCACACUUGGGAGCAUGGAGGGGGGUGGUGCUGUGGAGAACUGUGGCAACCAAGCUAGGUGCAAAAACCUUGCCAUGGUCAUUCUAAAGCAGAAAUUAAGGGGAUGAGCUGAAAUAAGCUGAACUCUGAUACCCAGAGAGAUGUCUUCAGAGUUUAAGUAGAUUCAGUAUUGCUUGAGCUUGCUUUUUUUACAAGCAGGUA